rnacentral:rRNA from 1 species
GAUGAACGCUGGCGGCGUGCCUAAUACAUGCAAGUCGAGCGAACAGAUAAGGAGCUUGCUCCUUUGACGUUAGCGGCGGACGGGUGAGUAACACGUGGGUAACCUACCUAUAAGACUGGAAUAACUCCGGGAAACCGGGGCUAAUGCCGGAUAACAUUUAGAACCGCAUGGCUCUAAAGUGAAAGAUGGUUUUGCUAUCACUUAUAGAUGGACCCGCGCCGUAUUAGCUAGUUGGUAAGGUAACGGCUUACCAAGGCAACGAUACGUAGCCGACCUGAGAGGGUGAUCGGCCACACUGGAACUGAGACACGGUCCAGACUCCUACGGGAGGCAGCAGUAGGGAAUCUUCCGCAAUGGGCGAAAGCCUGACGGAGCAACGCCGCGUGAGUGAUGAAGGUCUUCGGAUCGUAAAACUCUGUUAUUAGGGAAGAACAAAUGUGUAAGUAACUGUGCACGUCUUGACGGUACCUAAUCAGAAAGCCACGGCUAACUACGU